AACUUUUAACAAUGGAUCUCUAGGCUCUCAUAUCGAUGAAGAACACAGUGAAAUGUGAUAAGUAAUGUGAAUUGCAGAAUUCAGUGAAUCAUUGAAUCUUUGAACGCCCCUUGCACCUUUUGGUAUUCCAAAAGGUAUGCCUGUUUGAGUGUCAUGAAAAUCUCUCAUCAAAUUAAUUUUUGGUGGAUGUUG
rnacentral:rRNA from 1 species